AUGUGGGAUGUAACUGGUUUUCUGGGUAAUCCCUAUGUCCAGCUUCAGAAGCUAAGAGCUUACUGACUGCCUUGGUUGGGUGAUUGCAGAGUGUUCCAUGCUCACACAGAUCCUUUGUAUGGUUCAUGUGCCGGCAUGGGUUGGGGUUGUACCCACUGUUGGCUAAUUCCAGACAUUGAUCAUCUUGGAAGAGAAGAGCUCAACUCAGAAAGGCAAAUGCGAAUGUGAAGUGAGGAUUUUAUUGUUCAUGGGUACCCUUGGAAACAUUGAAUGGCUUUGACUCACAGGAGAACUGAAACUUCACAUUCUUCCACUUAAUCAGUCUCUGACUCCAGAAAGGCAAAGAGUUGGUGAAGAAAUAUGCACUUUAUCCAGAUUUACAAAAGAAGUGCAAAUUUGCAAAACAAUGUUAACAGGCAUUGAAAGUUUGCAUAACUAUACUUUCACAGUAAAAAGAAAAAAAGAAAAAAAAAGGAAAAAUUGGAUUCCUUUGGAGAAAUGUUUGAUUUAAGGACUGGGCAGGAAAUAUGCAUGAUAAGACUGGAACACACCACACAGAAAGCAAGAGAUGUGUGCACAGUGCUCAGAUGGAGAGGUUGUCACUGAUUCCAAAAGAUAAUGAGAUCAUCCAUAAAAAUAAUAAAAAGAUUAGACUGCACUACAUCACAUAUUUUUGUGGGCUCAUAAUGAUGCUAAUACAUUAAUUAAUAGUUCAUCAUUGGACUAUGUCAGUGAACUAACCAUUAAUUUGACAACUGGAAACAAAGAGAAAAGGAAUCAAGCAUAUCUGAAUGCCUGCUCUUGUCACAAAAAUAGAGACAACCACUUACAUGUCCCCAGGUGGAAGAAGGUGCUCUUCAUGUAAAGUAAUCUUUCUGAAAAAUGAAGAAAAUUAAACUGAGAGUUUCAUAGACUCAACAAAAAUCCAGACUGUAGGAAAUUUCAAAGGGCAUAUUACCUUUCUUGCACAAAGAAAUUACUUGAGAAAAAAAGAAAAUAAAACACAUCCUAGAUGAAAAGAUGAAGACACAUCCUGAGCCGUCGGGAUAUGUGGACCUUUCAGGCUGCGCAGGUUACCUGAUGUGCCUUAAUGAAGAUGCCUCACUCUGUUCCUGGCACCCUGAGCCCAUUUCCACCCAUGAUGAUUAUUAUCUUUUCAAAGGAGAAGGAAAACUAUAUUUUCACUUUUUGAAUGAAUGAAAGGUGAUGGAAUAAAGUAUUGUCAACUAAUUGGGUAGAAUGUAUUAUAUUUAUAGUGUAUAAGUGUUUUUUGACUUUUCUCUAAAAUCUGUCUUCAUUUCUUCCCAUUUUGGAGUGUUGACAAUAUUUUAUGUAGACAGCAGCCUGAAAUUAGCAGCAGAGAGGGUCACUUUUCUCUUGGGAAUCUGAAAAGACUGUAGGAAUGGAUAACAUCUGACUUCUCCUGACUUGUUUAUUAUGACAUUUAUUGCAGAAACUGGAUCUUCCAUCGGAAUUUCCCCAGUGUCACGUUCUAUUUUGAUAUGAUAUUCAGCUUCCUGUAAGCAGCAUCUCUCAAUAUUAUCCAUUAGUGACAUCAAUUCAUUUUGUUACAGUUUUGAUUUUUGCUUUUCUCUUUUUAACUUGUUCAGAAUUGAUUUUUCUUGAGUUUUUUUCUUUUUAGACUUAACAGCUAUAAAAGUGAUUUCCAAAGGAGUAAAGAGCUUAUGAUACAAUUAAGAUAUAGUUCAGUUAACAAAAAAUGAAACUUAGCAUGGCAUCCUAAGACUAUAUAUUUUGGGGCCAGCAUUGUGGAGUAGCUGGUAAAGCUGCCACCUGCAGUGGCAGCAUACUAUAUGGGCACCAAUUUGAGAUCCAGCUGCUCCACUUCUGAUACAGCUCCAUGCUUAUGUACUAGGAAGGUAGUGGAGGAUGACCCAAGUGCUUCAGCCCCUGAACCUAAAUGGGAGAUGCAGAAGAAGCUCCAGGCUCCUGGAUUCAGUCUGGCCCAGCCAGGGCCAUUGCAGGUAUUUGGGGACUGAACCAGCAGUUGGAAAAUCUCUCUCUCUCUCUCUGCUACUCUGCCAUUCAAAUAAAGAAAUGAAUCUUCAAAAAGAAUAUAUAUUAUUUUCUAGGUAUAAUAUGAUUAGCUAAAAUAAGUUAGUGAAACAGACACAGAAAAUUUUAAUUUUGAAAUUGUUAUCCCUGGCAAAGCCAAUGUGAGAAUUAUUUAAGACGUUUCAUACUGUCUCAACUUUUUAAACAUAUAUUUGAAAGCAUAUAAAUAUAGUUAUUACUUGUAUAUAUAUAUGCAUAUAAGUAUGUUUACAUAUUCAUAUAUGCAUAUAUUUAGAUAUACAUUACAUAUGAUAUGUAAUAACACAUCAUAUAUACAUAUAAAUAUGCAUACAUAUAAUUUGAGUUUGAAAACACAGAAAUUCUCAAUAUCACUACCUUCAUUCUUUGUUCCCCUAGUGACAGUGUUCCUAUCAAGGUCUCUAGCUGGCAACAGUCAUUUAGCUUCAGGAGUAAUUCAGAACCCCAGCAUGGAUAAUUUUUAGAUUUGGAUCAGAGAAUAUUCACAUCCCUGUGGGUCUCUUAGAACAAUGGACAGUCUCCAGGAAUAUUACAGCAAAAUGGGGACAGUGAGGAGAGUUUUACUUCCAAUCUUAUUAACAGAAUCUGUAUCCCAAGACAGAGUACUCUUAGGAAAUCAGACCCAGGUGAUUUCUUACUGCCUUUCUCCAAACCAGACAGGUGCUUCCUCUGCUUCCCACAAUACCAGCUGUAUGAUACUGAUAAUGUCAUGUUUUAGAAAGUCUGCCCCAGUAAUUUGUCACUCCUUAUGAUCUAAGGACUGUGGGAUUAUAAAAAUUAGCAAGCAAAGACAUGGGUUAUUCAUUCUUCUUAAGGUCUAGUGGGGGAGAUGGAUGGUAACCAAAUAAUCACAAAGGUAAAUUUGAAAUUAUAAAUAUGUAAGUGGUAUAAAGGAAGCACAUGGUGCCAUCAGAUUUUUUCCAGAAUUUAGAAUAUUUACAUUCAUAUAUGUAUAUGUGUGUGUGUGUAUAUAUAUAUAAUGAAGAGUCUUGGUAUUGAAUUCAAAUCUAAACAAAAAUUCAUUUGUGUUUCAUAUAUACCUUGUACACAUAGCCUGAAGGCUAUUUUAUACAAUAUUUUUAGAGUGCUGGCAUUUUGACUGCAACACAUCACAUGAGAUACAAACCUUUCCACAUAUGGCAUCAUAUCGGUUGGUCCUCAGAAAGUUGUAGAUUUUGGAGAAUUCUGCAUUUCACAUAUCUGGAUGAGAUAUGUUCAAGGUAUACUGAUAUAUAUGAUAAGGAAUUGGUUCAUGUGGUUAUGGAAACUGAUAAGUCACAAGAUCUGCAGUUGGCAAGCUGGAGACCCAGGGGAGCCAGUGAUGUAAAUUCAAGUUUGAGUCUGAGUCCAAAGUCAGGAGAGGAUGGAUGACUCAGAUCAAAGACAACCAGGUGGAGAGAAUGAAUUCUCCUUACUUGGCUUUUUUGUUAUGUGUAGGCCUUCAAGAGAUUGGAUGAAGCCCAAAUACUUUACUCAGUCUGCAGAUUUGAGUAUUAAUUUCAUUCAGAAACAUCCUUACAGGCACACCUGGCACAAUUCUUUACUAAAUAUCUGGACUGUCAUGGCCCCAUGAAGUUAACAUAAAUUAGCCAUCUGUUUUUUUCCUAAUUUUUGAAUACCUUGUGCUCCAGGGUUUUGUUGAUCUUGUGAGCAAUCUAAUAUCUUUUCAGUAAAUCUUUGUGUAAGACCACUAUAAUCAUUUUAUUUUCUCCUUUAUUAAUAUUUAUUCUAGGAAUAAUGUAUAUAAAUUUGUAAUAUCUUAUAAAACACAAUAUUAUAUCUAAUGUUUUAAAUAUUCAUGCUACAUUGUAAAAUUCAUGUUUUAGACACAUGUUUCUCUUAGCCAUGCUCAGAAAAGAUUGGUAUCGGUAGGAAUAUAGAGGUUAGAGAAUUAAGAGUGGAUGUUUGGAAAAUAUUAGGAAGAAAUUAUAAUUCAUAUUUUCAGGAAUAGCUAUAGACACAAGGAUAUAAUUAUAGAUUUAACAGUUACAGGAUUGAUGAUGGAUAACAUUUAAAAUGUGAGAGGGAGGCCGGCGCCGCGGCUCACUAGGCUAAUCCUCCGCCUAGCGGCGCCGGCACACCGGGUUCUAGUCCCGGUUGGGGCGCCGGAUUCUGUCCUGGUUGCCCCUCUUCCAGGCCAGCUCUCUGCUGUGGCCAGGGAGUGCAGUGGAGGAUGGCCCAGGUGCUUGGGCCCUGCACCCCAUGGGAGACCAGGAAAAGCACCUGGCUCCUGGCUCCUGCCAUCGGAUCAGCGUGGUGUGCCGGCCGCAGCACACCGGCCGCGGCGGCCAUUGGAGGGUGAACCAACGGCAAAGGAAGACCUUUCUCUCUGUCUCUCUCUCUCUCACUGUCCACUCUGCCUGUCAAAAAAAAAAAAAAAUGUGAGAGGGAGUAAAGAGUCAAUUAUAAUUCCCAGGUUUCUGGCAUGUGAGAAUGAAUGAAGGAGAGUUGUGUUCAUUAAGAUGAGAGUAUGGCAGAAGGAACAUGUGUUAGAUUUUUGCUCAAGAAAUGUUACAGCAGAAGGCUCUCAGUAGUUAAUUUCUAGAAAAGUUAAGAACUACUAUUCAUUUGGUAUCUAAGUAAAAAUGCCAAGUAGGCUGCCAGAUGUACUAUUCUGGAACUCAGAGCAUAAUGUUGGGGAAGAGUUACUUGGAGAGAGAUUGUGUCAUUCCUCAAGCAACAAAUAUCUCAGGUUGGCACUGUAGGCUAAGCCUCUGUGGUGCCAGCAUCCCUUAUGGGCACUUGUUCAUGUAGCUUCUCUUCCAAUCCUGCUCCUUGCUAAUGGCCUGGGAAAGCAGUGGAAGAUGGCUCAAGUCUUUGGGUUCCUGCACUCAUGUAGGAGACCCGGAAGAAGUCUCCUGACUUCAGACGAGUCCAGCUCCAGCCAUUGUUGCAGCCAUUUGGGAAGUGAGCCAGUGGAUGGCAGACCUUUCUAUCUGUCUCUCCCCCUUUCUCUCUGUAACUACCUCUCAAAUAAGUGAAGAAAAUCUUUUUUUUUUUUUUAAAGAAACAGAGCCAGCACUGUGGUACAAUAGAUUAAUCCUCUGCCUGCAGUGCCAGCAUCCAAUAUGGGCACCGAUUCUAGUCCCAGCUUCUCCUUUUCUGAUCCAGCUCUCUGCUAUGGCCUGAGAAAGCAGUUGUAGAUGGCCCAAGUACUUGGGGCCCUGUUCCUACAUGGGAGACUCGGAGGAAGCUCCUGGCUUCUGGCUUUGGAUCAGCCCAGCUCCAGCCCUUGAGUCCAUUUGGGGACUAAACCAACAGAUGGAAGACCUUUCUCUGUCUCUCCCUCUCACUGUCUGUAUCUUUACCUCUCAAACAAAUAAAUUGAAUCUUAAAAAAAAAAUAAACAAUUAUCUCUUUGGUAAGCCACCUCUCUGGAUUCAGAAGGUAUUUCCUUCUUUGAAUGAUUUAUUAAGAUCUAAUAUCUAGCUUAACUCUAGUAAGUAACUUCUGUUGUCCAUCUUAUGAGGAUUUCCUUGUAUAUGCAGACUUGAGACAUAUAACUGAAAAAUUCACCUUCUCCAUAACGUGUCAGUCCAUGGAAAGUGUGAAAAAGUAAGUUGUCAUUUAAUUAUGCAUUCCUUGUAUUGGUUCUGUGAUAACAUGCUCUGAUAGGCUGUGGUUUCAUACCAUCUCUUGGAAAUAUCCAAUUUGAAAAAAUAACCUGGGCCGGCACCACGGCUCACUUGGCUAAUCUUCUGCCUGUGGCGCUGGCACCCUGGGUUCUAAUCCUGGUUGGGACACCAGUUCUGUCCCAGUUGCUCCUCUUCCAGUCCAGCUCUCUGCUGUGGCCCAGGAAGGCAGUGAAGGAUGGCCCAAGUGCUUGGGCCCUGCACCCACAUGGGAGACAAGGAGGAAGCACCUGGCUCCUGGCUUCAUAUGGUGCAGCGUGUCGGCUGUAGCGGCCAUUUUGGGGGGUGAACCAACGGAAAAGGAAGACCUUUCUCUGUCUCUCUCUCUCUCACUGUCUAACUCGACCUGUAAAAAAAAAAAAAAGAAAAGAAAAAAUAACUUGUUGUGUUUUCUCUAAAGUCUGGGCCAUCUAUGCAAGACACAACCAUAUUUACAUUCCACCUUUUCUGCUUACUAAUCACUUUUCCUUAUUUUGCUGCCAUAUCUGUGAUUGUACUCCUAACUGCAGUGAAACGAUUGCAAGUAAGCUUGGCCUUAAGAUUGGUUUCUAGAGAACCAAGAUUUAGAAAUGAGUGAUUCUUUGUUUUUGCGAGAUUGCAUUAGUAUUACCUAUAGUUUAACUUAUAUUACAAAAAUAAAUACUGAAUAAAUACGAAAUAUUUUUAUUUUUCAUUUUUUUCCAAGAUAAUAUUGUAUACCUCAUCUACAACAUUCUCUAGAGUUCUUAUUUGAUUUUGUAGUGGCAAAUACUAUGCCAGUAAAAAGCUUUGUUCAAACUUUCAUAAUGAAAUAUUUCAUUAGAAAUACUAUCCAUUAAUUAGCUUGACUUAUUUUCUCAUAAUAUAUCACUUUGCAACAAUAACAUUAAGUUUUACCAGUAGUAUAUGUAAACACAUUAUAGAAAACCCUGAAGUUCAUUAAGUAGAUAGGCCAAGGCUAUGAGCAGUGCUGGAGGACAGAUGACUUCACAUAAGUGUUACACUACUGAGGAGAGCAUAAUUAGCAUUGGCAUUUGGUAAAGCAAUUUGAUUAAAUUCAGUAAGAGCCUAAACUUAUUCAUAUAAUUUUUACUUUAAAAACAUUAGUCUACAUUUCCUUUAUUUAUAAAGGAAAAAUGAAAUGCAAUGGACAAAUUAUGUUCAAAUGCAAAUUUUCAUAAGAAGUACUUGAAAAUGUUCUAUACAUUCUACAUUUUAAUAUAAUACUAAGUGUAUUUUAAAAAAUUUCUUCAUUUAUUUAUUUGAAAGGCAGAGUGAUGCAGAGAGAAAGACAGAAAGGGUGAGAGAGAGAGAGAGAGAGAAGGAGAGACAGAGAUUCAUUUUGCUGUUUCACUCCCUAAAGAGCCAAAACAACCAGAUCUGGGCCAAAGCCAGAAGCCAGAACACCACUCCUUCUUGCCGUUUCAUAUGGGUGGCAAAGCCCAUGUAUUUGUGCCAUAACCUACUGCCUUCUCAGGAGCGUUAGCAGAAAGCUGGAUUGUUAGCUGAACAGACAGGACUGGAACCAGCACACCUAUAGAGAGUGCAAGUGGCAGUUUAGCACAGUGCACCACAACAUUGGCCCCUUACAAUAAGCCUAUUAUGAAUUGUGUUGUGUCUCCCCAAAAAUAUGUUGAAAUCCUAAUCCCCAGAACCUGUGGUUGUGAGUUUGUUUGGAAAUAGAGUCCCUGAGGAGGUGAUUUCUGUCUUAGAUCUUUAUGAUAUGAUGAUGGAGGUGGGCUUUAAUUCAAUAUAACCAAUAGAGUCAAAGGGGAGAUGGCUAUCUAAAGACAGAGAAGAUGCUGGAGUGAAGCUGUAAGAAUCCAAAUAUCACUUCUAGUUGCCAGAAGCCGGGGGAGACAAAUAAUGAUUCUUCCACAGGGGCUUCUGAGAAAGCAUAGCUCAUUCGCCAUCUUGAUUUUGGGCUUUUAUUCGCUACAUCUGAUAGAAAAUAAAUUUCUGUUGUCUUUUUUUUUUUUUUAAAGAUUUAUUUAUUUGAAAAGCAGAGUUAGAGACAGGCAGGGAUAGAGAGGGAGAGAGAGACAGAGGGAGGUUUUCCACCUGCUGGGUCACUCCCCAAAUGACCACAACAGCCAGAGCU